rnacentral:tRNA from 1 species
UCCUUGGUGGCUCAGUGGUAAAGAAUCUGCCUGAUAAGCAGAAGAUGUAUGUUCAAUCCCAGGGUU